rnacentral:rRNA from 1 species
AAACUAGGAUUAGAUACCCUAUUAUUUAAGAGGUAAACAUUGUUAGUAAUAGAAAUUACGAAAGCAAAAAAUUAUGGCGGUAUUUUAAGCUUUUCAGAGGAAUUUGCUCUUUAAUGGAUAAAACACCUAAAUCUUACUUAAAUUUGUUACUGCAAUUUGUAUACCACUAUAAAAACAAUUUAUAACUUCAAUUGUUAAAAUUUAUUAAAUUUAAAAUAUCAUUAAGUCAAGGUGCAGUAAAAAUUUAAGAAUGAAGUGAAUUACAUUACUUUUUAGUGAAAAAAAAAUUUAAAUUAACUUUAGGAUUUGAAAGUAAAAUUGAAAUAGAAUGUCAAUUUGAAUUAAGCUCUAAAAUAUGUACAUAUCGCCCG